GAAAAGGAAGGAGGAGCCCAGCGGCAGCAGUCCAGGCUCAAAGCGUUCCAAGACGCCCUGGCAGACUGCUCGUUAGAGGAUAUUGGAUACCAUGGUGACAAAUUUACCUUCUUUAGAGGAGGAUUGCGAGAAAGAUUGGAUCGAGCAGUUUCAAAUCCGGGAUGGAUGGAGAUGCACCCAUUGUGUGGUCUUGUAAACCUGGAUAUGGGUAAGUCGGAUCACAGACCUAUCUGUUUGGAUACUGAAUAUCUGACGGGUGUCGCAGGCCCACGGCGUCGAUCAGGAAGGAAAUUUGAGGCAAGAUGGCUAGAAGAAGAGUUGGUGGAGGAAGUAGUGCGAACGGCAUGGCAAAAGGCAGUCGUUAGGGGGCUUUGUCCCUCGGCUAGUGAGAAACUAGCAGCAGUACAUAAAGAUCUUCAUCAAUGGGACAGGAAAAUUCUGAAGGGCCCUCGAGCCAGACUGAAAACAACGCAGCAGGAAUUAGAGGCACUGAUGAGAGAGCCAUAUGAUGCUGAGGCACAUGUAAAACAGCAGGAUUUGACGCUCAAAAUUGAAAAUCUCUUAGAGCAAGAGGAGAUUUACUGGGCCCAACGGGGACAUGCAAAGUGGCUUCGUCGCGGUGACCGUAACACCAAAUUUUUUCAUCAGUUUGCUUCGGCCCCUCGGCAUCGUAACUUGAUCAAGAGAUUGAAAGAUAAUAAUAAUGCAUGGGUUGAGGGGAAUGAUAACCUCAAGCCCCUGAUCUUUGAUUACUUCUAG
rnacentral:rRNA from 1 species